ensembl:lncRNA
CAACACACUCACGCAGACAGUGGCCAAGCGCUGUUGUGGGCUGGAAGGGGACGCAGUUGUCAGUGAGCUGCAGAGAGAAGCCUGGAUCACGCAGCAUACUCUGAGUGCAUGAGAGUGCGCGCUUGAACCGUGGUGCUUCAGAUUCCUGACCCUCGCCCACCCCGGGUCCUGCCCACCUCAGUGCAGAGUGCAUGUGGAAUGAGUCCCUUUCUUCGUGCCAGGUUCGUUUGCCCUUUGAUCUGGAACAGCUGGGCCAAGUUUGUCCCGUGUCACUGUCAGCUAUCAGAGGAAAGUGUCAUCCUGUGGGGAAGCUGGCCAGGACACAGUCACAUGCUUCAGUGACGGCCAAGUGCAGGUCCCUCCCCCCUGCCCGAGGUGGCCCAGCCUCUGAGCCUGGAGCCCUGUGCCGCUCUGUCCCAGUUCACGCUUGUCAUGUCUCAUAUCGCACCCGAGGCCUGUACUUGGUAGCCUUAUGUCGAGGAUUGUGUCUUAAUUUCUUGUCAUAUCUGAAUGAUUCUCAUUUUCUCAGUGCUCCCCAUGAUGCCCAAUCUAAGUAUUCACCUUUUGGCUAUAAGCAUUAAAAAAAGUUAACGUGACCUAGAUGGGAGAGAUGAGUAAGAUGUAAAGUGAGUAAGGGAACGUUUGUCAGGUGAAAUACAGUGGGUCAUUUAUUUUCUUUUUCUACUUCUUUUUGAAAUAGUCGCGAUCCAGACAGGAAGAUCCAGAACAAUUACGGUUGAAGCAGAAGGCAAAAGAGAUGCAGCAGCAGGAACUGGCACAGAUGCGACAGCGGGAUGCCAACCUCACGGCACUGGCGGCGAUCGGGCCCAGGAAAAAGAGGAAAGUGGACUAUGCAGGGCCGGGAUCGGAGCAGAGGUACAGCAGCAGCGGGGGUGAGGUCUGGAAGGGACCCGGGAGAGCAUCCUAAGCUGCUUCCUCAGGUAGACGGACACACGUGAGUGUGCUCUACCCCUCCACACAUUGUCUUGCCUUCUGUGGGGCAUCUGUCUUGCAUUUGAAAGUUGGCAUUCGCAUCAAGUUAUUUGUGGGCUUCACAGGUUCUUUGGCUAAGGUUGUGUGACCUCCAUAGUUUGCUGUGAUGAGGUUCGGACUGACUUUGAACAGAAUAUGGGGUCACUGUCUCACUACUCUCACAAGUAACAGUGGGAGGGUCGCUUCCGGAGAACAGGUGGGAGGGAAAGGAGCUGUUCCCUGCAUCCAGAGCUUUUUAGUUGCUUGUCUUGUUUGUUGUCAUAUUUCUUAAAACAUCAACAGUUCUAAACCCAAUCUUAAUGUAUUACCAUUAUUGUUAUUAUUAUUAUUGGUUUUUUGAGACAGUCUUACUGUGUAGCUCAGGCUGGCCUCAAACUCAGCAAUCCUCCUGCUUCAGCCUCCUGAGUGCUGGAAUGAUGGAUGUGCACCACCAGGCCUGGCUGCAUUAUUUUUGCUUUAAACUGUUAAUUACUUAUUGAAAAGUAACAUUUAGGAAGAAGGAAAACAGUUUUCCAUAUUUACAUACUUACAUGGCAUCUCUGGGGUCCUGUACCUUUCUGCAAACCCCCAUUCCUGUCCACCAUCACUUCCCUUUGACUUGAAAGAUGCCUGUUGCAUUUCCUGUCACACGAGUCUGCUUUUUUUCUUGCAGAAUUUUCAGGGUGUUGUCCCUCAUCCUCUGGGGUCCCUCUAAUUUUCAUCCUUGUUUCCUGUCCACACACUCUCCCUUCUCCAGCUGUUGAGACUUUGAACCUCUACUCUGUGGAAUUUGUUCUGUGUUUGAGUGUGCGUCUCUGAGUAUUUGGCCUUUUCAGGUUUCUGAGCUUCUCAGACCUGGAUGUCAGUGAUUUGUGUCACAUUUGGACAUUCUGGUCAUUAUCUCUUCAAAUUCUGUACUUUUUCUUCUCCAGUCUUUCUUCUGCUAGGCCUCCAAUCACACAUAUCCUUAGCCCUGUUGAUAUUGCUGUUGCGGUCUUUGAACUUGUACUCACUCACUUCAGUAUUGUUUCUCUCUGCUCUCAAAACUGGAUGGUUUCUCCUGUUCUGUCUUCAGGUUCCUGACCAGAUGGAGUUCUGCCCUUCCCUGUUGGCUGCUAAAUUCUACUAAAGUUUACAUUUGUUAAUGUGUUUUUCAAUUCUAAGGUUUCUGUUCUAUUCUUUUUUAGUUUCUAAAUCAGUAGCUGAGGUUCCUUGCCUGCCCAUUUAUUGAGACCAUAUUUUCCCAUACUUUGUUUGGUACUGGGGAAUCGAACUCAGGACCUUGGGCUUGUGAGUCAGGAGACAGAACCACUGACCUAAAUCCCCGGCCCUCCCCAUACUUUUUUGAGCAUAUUUAUUAAAGCUGCUAAAGUUUUUCAAGUCCAGAACCUGUGCCAUCUCAGAUCAGUUUCUGUUUCUGGCAGACUGUGUGAGGCAUGCUGCCCCACAUUGGGCACCAGUUACAGGGAAUGGGAGAGGGAGGUCACCAAAAACCCCUGAAAACCCCCGCAGUGGGUCUCAGUCUCCUGUGUAACAAGCAAGAAGAGUAAGACAGAAACAAGACUUAGAACUGGGUCUUGGGCUGAUCUGUGCUGCUCUGGGCAACAAAGACCAGGGCACCAAGGGCACCCAGUAUUUAUUGAUUACAAGCAUGGGGAGCACAGGAUUUUUUGAAGACAUCUAGCGGCACAGUGAAGCUUCUGGCAAUAGCUGAUGAGCAAGGGCGGGGGAUGUAGCUCAGUGGUUCUGGUGCCUGCCUUGCAAGCGCAAUGUCCUGAGUUCAAUCCCUGGUACCAAAAAAAAAAAAAAAAAAGAAAUAGCUGGUAAGUGAACAGGGCUAUAGAGGAGGACGGCACUGCUUAUCAUGGAAAGAGCAAAGGGUGCUGGGUCUGGGUUGCAAUUAAUGAGCAACCUAUCAGGUCAGUGAGAAGCCAUAAUUCAGGGAAGAGAUUUGAUUGGAACCCAGUUGACCUUGGCUGGAAGUGAACUCAGCCAAUCCCUGCUACUUCAUGGACUAGGACUUAAGUACUGGUAGCAGUGAUUAGCAAAGGACCAACACUAGGCCUACUUUGCUAUCUGACAUGCCCAUUUGUGUCACGUAAAACUUCGGUCAGACUCCUAAGAUAAUAGAGCCGAAUUAUGGAAAAGGAAGAAGCAUGUAGCACUCUGUACAGCCUGCUAGUACUGGGCAGGGAUGUCCACUGUAUCUGUUGGCUGUUUCUUCCCCCUUGACUGUGGAUCACAUUUGAUUCUGGUUACAGCGGGCAGUUCACUUAGUGCUGCUCACCCUGGGUUUGUGUGGGCUCCCUUCACUUGGUUAGGAAGGAUCAUGGAAAGGUCAGGGUAUUUCUCAAGCCACCCUAUCCUACCUGGACUUACUCUGCAAGCUCGUCUUCCUGUCUGAUCUUGCUUAGGCUUUGCUGUAUAGGGUCUUACUGUGGGGUGUGACCCGUUACUCCUAGGAGAGGCCUGAUAUGGACUUCACAACACAUUCGUGAUGGGGCUGUCGUCUGUGUCUCACUGCCAGGCAGCUCUUGGAUUCAGUUGUUCUGCCAGCUUAAACCACCAGUGGUACGUGUGUGACUGUCACAUCGAGUGGCUUAUGCCGCUUCUCAGGGGUCUUUGAUUACAGUAAUGCAAAGAGGACCAUUGGUUUAGCAGACCAGCUGUCAUCAUGUUACAGUUCCUUAGAACAUUAAAAUGGUGUAAAGAAUUGUGAUGUAGUUAACUUAGGGGACAGCAGUUGUAAAUGCACAUCAUAUACACCAGCGAUGGGGUGCUUGUAAGAUUUCCAUGUUAAAUUUAGAGAACUAGUUAUUG